GGGAAGAGCACGUCGGAGGAGGGAGAGACGAGGUCCCAGCAGCUCUGCCCAAGCAGACAGGAAACAGGACGCAAAGGGGCCAAGUGCCCACCAGGACGUGGCUGGCGGAGUUAGUGCGGCUCGGCCCUCCCCUCCCACACCAUGGACCCAUCUGCCUGGGAUUCUCCCCCGCCUGACCCCCUGCUCGUCGCUCACGCCUCAGACCCCUACCCUAAGGCUUGUGCCUAGCAGAGUCCCCUGCCCUUCGCUGCAGCACUGUGCCCCAGGGAACCUACCGGGAAUGUUAACUUGGUGGCACCUUACCAAGGGACACUGCCCAUCCUCUGCCAGGGCUUGUGUGGGCCAAAGUGCAAGAGGCGUGGAGAUGCGCUGCCACUGAUCAGGCUGCGCUACUGCCACAGGCUUAAGGCCGGCAGGGGGUGCUGGAGGGCAUGGGGAAGGGCUCUCCACCCCAGGGCCAGCAGGAAGCACUAGAGAAAUUGGGGUCCCCACCCCAGGGCCAGCAGGGGGUGCUAGAGAAGUCAGGGGAGGUCCCUGCCCCAAGGCCAGCAGGGGACGCUGAACAGGUUGGUGUCCCCACCCUGGGCCAGCAAGGGGGUUCUGGAGAGGUCAGGAAGGUCCCUGCCCCGGGACAGCAGGCGGUGGUGGAGAGGUCAGGAAGGUCCCUGCCCCGGGCCAGCAGGGGGUGGUGGAGAGGUCAGGAAGGUCCCCACUCCAGGCCAGCAGGGGGUGCUGAAGGGCACGGGGUUGGGGUCCCUGCCCUGGGCCAGCAGCGGGUGCUGAAGGGCACGGGGUGGUGGUCCCCGCCCCAGGCCAGCAGGGGGUGCUGAAGGGCAUGGGGUUGGGGUCCCUGCCCUGGGCCAGCAGGGGGUGCUGAAGGGCACAGGGUGGGGGUCCCUGCCCCGGGCCAGCGGGGGGUGCUGAAGGGCAUGGGUGGGGGUCCCUGCCCUGCAGGGCU